GGGGUUGUGGCUCAGGGGUAGAAUGCUCACUUGGCAUGAGCGAGGCCCUGGGUUCGAUCCUCAGCACCACA
rnacentral:tRNA from 1 species